rnacentral:rRNA from 1 species
GACGAACGCUGGCGGCGUGCCUAAUACAUGCAAGUAGAACGCUGAAGAGAGGAGCUUACUCUUCUUGGAUGAGUUGCGAACGGGUGAGUAACGCGUAGGUAACCUGCCUUGUAGCGGGGGAUAACUAUUGGAAACGAUAGCUAAUACCGCAUAACAAUGGAUGACACAUGUCAUUUAUUUGAAAGGGGCAAUUGCUCCACUACAAGAUGGACCUGCGUUGUAUUAGCUAGUAGGUGAGGUAAUGGCUCACCUAGGCGACGAUACAUAGCCGACCUGAGAGGGUGAUCGGCCACACUGGGACUGAGACACGGCCCAGACUCCUACGGGAGGCAGCAGUAGGGAAUCUUCGGCAAUGGGGGCAACCCUGACCGAGCAACGCCGCGUGAGUGAAGAAGGUUUUCGGACCGUAAAGCUCUGUUGUAAGUCAAGAACGGGUGUGAGAGUGGAAAGUUCACACUGUGACGGUAGCUUACCAGAAAGGGACGGCUAACUACGUG